rnacentral:lncRNA from 1 species
GUGGUAUUCCACAUAUUGUCUAGUUCCUUACCGUACCACGUUAAUUACCAAUUAUUGGUUAUUGAGAUUCCUAGGCAAGGCAGAUUAAUAUUUAGGAAUAGAUAUUACCUCUCUUUUUAACCUUUCAAAUAAAAAAAAAAAUAAAUAAAAUUCAAAUGAUUGAAGUCUUUCUAUUUGGAAUCGUCUUAGGUCUAAUUCCUAUUACUUUGGCUGGAUUAUUCGUAACCGCCUAUUUACAAUACAGACGUGGUGAUCAGUUGGACCUUUGAUUAAUUAACAUCUCUUUUUUUAACUGACCCCUCCCUUCUUUAAUUUAAUCCGAGGGGGAGGUCAGGGUCAAAUUCAGAUUGCUGUUCAAUUAUUUCAGUUCAGUGUGUAUGGUUUUAGAUCUAAGACGACAAGAGCGGAAUCACGCUCUGUAGGAUUUGAACCUACGACAUUGGGUUUUGGAGACCCACGUUCUACCGAACUGAACUAAGAGCGCUUUCUUAUCACAACGAAAAAGGCUGGAAAUAAGGAGAUUCUCUUUUUUUACCCCAACAAUUCUUGUAUGUGUAUACUAUCAUAUAUCAUAAAAUAGAAAUUUAUGUAUGUCAAAAUGAAAUCGAUCGAAAAAAAAAAAAAAAAAAGAUCUCGCGUUACUGCUGCUCUGAGCGGUAAUUGGUAGGGAUGACAGGAUUUGAACCCGUGACAUUUUGUACCCAAAACAAACGCGCUACCAAGCUGCGCUACAUCCCUUUCAAUUGGCCUACAAUAUCAUUGUAAAGAAUCCCUGUCUUGUUUUCCACAUCCUUAUUUUUUAUUCCCUCUAGUGAUAUGCAAAAUGGAUCUUGCCUUUUCUUGUUUUUGGUCUCAUAUCAUAUACCAUAUAAUAAUAAUAAAUUAUUAUUUUUCUUGGGAAUUCGCAGGUGUAAAGUGACCCUUUUUCUGUUUUAAGAAAAAAAAAAAGAAAAUCAAAUCUUAUAUACCGAAUCAUUGCGCAUUUCAAUUUGAAUUAGGGAUUCCGCGCACAAAUACAAGUGGGCCUUUAACUACAUAUACAUCUCUUACCAUAAUAUAUUCCAAUAGGGAAUACAAAAACAAAAAAGAAGGAGGAUUUUCAAUGCGAGAUCUAAAAACAUAUCUUUCCGUGGCACCGGUACUAAGUACUCUAUGGUUCGGGUCUUUAGCAGGGUUAUUGAUAGAAAUCAACCGUUUAUUCCCCGACGCAUUGACAUUUCCUUUUUUUUUCAUUCUAGUUAUUGAACUGGAACGGGGUGAAGAAGAUUAGAGCUAGAAUCAAAUAUUUGUGACUAAUCUCUCUUUCCCCUCUUUUCGUUUUUUUGUUUUACAAUUAGAAAGAAGGAAAGCGAAAGAAAAAAGGUGGCUUCAACCUCAGCGAAACCCGGGUUCAGGCUCCGAUUAAAUUAAUUAUUAAUUAUCCAGUUAAAAGCAAAUAGACAGGUAAAAGAAAACGGAAAUCGAAAUAUGGCUAGGGUAAGAGUAUCCUCCACUACAAGAUCCUUAAAUGAAAUACUGGACUGCGAUUUAGCAAUAUAGUUAGAAAUUCUUGUAUUACUUAUUAUUUUUUAUUUUGAUUUCCUAUUUAUUUACUAUAUUGAUUGCAAUAAAAUCUUUAUUUCAUAAGUUUUUUUUGAGUGGUUAGCAACUUCUAUUUUUUUGUCCCGUGCUUCUUAUUCGUUGCGGGUCGGAAAAUAGAAAAGUUGGGUGAAUCAAAAACCCCAAGGAGGUUCAUGGCCAAGGGUAAAGAGGUCCGAGUAAGGGUUAUUUUGGAAUGUACUAGUUGUGUUCGAAACGGUGUUAAUAAGGAAUCAAGGGGUAUUUCCAGAUAUAUUACUCAAAAGAAUCGACACAAUACACCCAGUCGAUUGGAAUUGAGAAAAUUCUGUCCCUAUUGUUACAAGCAUACACUUCAUGGGGAGAUAAAAAAAUAGAUAGAGUCAAGCCGCGUGCUUUUGUGUCACCCUUCCAAGGGACAUGAAAAACUAAUCUAGAUAUAUAUCUAGAUUAUUUCAUAUAUUUUAAUAAAAACAAAUAAAUAAAUCUAGACAAACCAAAUCCUAUAAUGGAUUCUAUAAAUCAUUUUUUGAUUUCAUCGAAAUGGGAUUUUAGGGAUAAGGAAUAAACAAAUUAUGGAUAAAACCAAGCGACUCUUUCUUAAAUCCAAGCGAUCUUUUCGUAGGCGUUUGCCCCGAUCCAAUCGGGGGAUCGAAUUGAUUAUAGAAACAUGACUUUAAUUAGUCGAUUUCUUAGUGAACAAGGAAAAAUAUUAUCUAGACGGGUGAAUAGAUUGACCUUAAAAGAACAACGAUUAAUUACUAUUGCUAUAAAACAAGCUCGUAUUUUAUCUUCGUUACCUUUUCUUAAUAAUGAGAAACAAUUUGAAAGAAGUGGGUUGACCGCUAGACCUCCCGGUCUUAGAACCAGAAAAAAAUAGGCUUACUCUUCAAUUAAAUAAAAAUUCCAAUCUGAACUCAAACACAGAUGGAUGUUUUGUUCAAAAAAUCUGUGAAGCAGCCGUGCCGUAAGAAAAAAAAAAAAAAAGAAUUGGGAAAGAAGAAUAAAAUCAAUCUUUUUUUUUAUUGAGCGUGUUCGCUCAUUUUGACGACUUUAUCAUAUUAUUUCUACUCUACCUUCCUCUUACUGGAGUUCAUUCUCCAGAGAACUCCGUUUAAAAAUUAUAAUGGAUUCCUUCCAAUUUCCUUAUUUUAUAAUCUCAUUGGAAAUCAUAUAAAGACAAUUCCUAUUUGAUAUAGCUAUUUGUGCAAGUAUCUUACGAUUAAGAACCAACUGCGCCUUAUACAGAUUGUAUAUUAAUCUACUAUAACUAUAGGAUACCAGAUUUCCGCGAAUUACUGCAUUUAUUCGGGUGAUCCACAAACGACGAAAAUCUCUUUUUUUCCUAUCUCUAUCGCGAUGAGCCGAAACCAAAGCUCUUAUUUUCUGUUGAGUAAUUGUUCGGCUAAGUCGUGAAUGAGCCCCGCGAAAGCUUGAUACAAAUAAACGCAUUUUUGUUCUACGUCUCCGAGCUAUAUAUCCUCGUCUAAUUCUGGUCAUUGAAUAAAUGAAACUUUGAUGAAUAACUAAUUGAUUUCCUUUCUUUCAGUUAUUCUUUUCCCCUUUCCUAGUCUAUUAAUAACAAAACGGACUCUUCCAAUUUAUAAAAUCAAAAUUCCAAUGGCUUUUGCUACUCUAACCUUCCCGACCACGCUUUUACCUUUUGUCGAGGCAUUGGAAAGAAAAUAGUAAAAAAAAAACGAAAGUAGUAAAUAGAUAAAGAAAUUGUGGGUUCCGUCGUCUCUAUGAUUACUUCUUAAACGGUGAGGCCCUCUCUAUACACCGGAGCCACUUCCUUCAUUUAAUCAAUUCUAUUGGUAACUUGUACAGUUACCACUCUUCGGCUCUACCCAUGAAUUUUCUAGUAAUAGGUCUUUCAUAACGAGAUAGACCUUAUACAGUAACGGUAUUUAAUUAUGAAGAUUGGUGGGGUAGCUGACCUUGUUAGUCCGUUCUUGCAAGAGUAGAAAGAUAAUCUUUCUGCUUUUUUAUAGUAUUUCCCCCGCUUAAUGGAUAACUAUUUGUUACCAAUGGGGAAUUCUUUCUCACCUUAAAUUAAUUGCAAAUUGAGGUGGUGGAAUUUGCGCCAGUGGAAACCAUAAAUUUCAUACACAAUAGAAAGAUAUGAUAGAUCGAUCUUUUUUUAGAUAGUGAAUGGAGUUCUUCUUCUUCUAUUCUAUCCGAUUCACAGGUACUGAUCAUUGAUACUUAAAAAAGGGUUUCUUUCUUUUGGUUUGUCUCAGCCCAUGAUUGAAACGAGUCGCACAUACACCCUUGUACAUGUUCCUCGGCGCUGAGGACAUCCCCGCAGAGCGGGGGAUUUGGUAACAUUUCUAAUUGGCUGUCUUGGGUUUCUAAUAAGUUGUUUAAUAGUUGGCAUGCUGAAUUAUCCAUUAUGGGCUGGUUUAGAUCGAUCCUAACCGGAUGAUUAUGAAUUUCUUCUGUUUAAUAGAAUAUUAAACCCUUAAGAAGUGACUGCUAUGUUUUAUCCAACCGCUACAAGAUCAACAAGUCCAUGAGCUUGGGCUUCUGUUGCUGACAUAAAAGUAUCCCUUUCCAUGUCUUCGGAUACAACCCAUAAGGGCUUGCCCGAUCUUUGUACAUAAACCAUUGUAAGGAUUUCGCGCAGUCUCAGUAGUUCUUCCGUAUCCAGGAUAAAUUCUCCCGUUUGUGCCCCAUAAAAAGCGCCAAUAGGUUGAUGGAUCAUGACCCUGAUGAUAUAUUAUAACAUAAUAAAAGGUUCCUCUAUCUCGCACGAUUCGGCGAGGGGAAGAGAUAAAGAAAAAGAUAGAAUUGAACAACCGUACGGGCACUUUUUCGCAUUGCAUACGGCUCGCCAAUGGAAUUUGCUUUUUACCCUUCAUCAAACAAGGAUAAAAAGGGGUUCUAUUAUACCCAGAUGGGUAAAUGAUCCAAUUACCACCCUUCUUUUUUUUUUGAGGAGUUCAAAAAUACUAUGAUGGCUCCGUUGCUUUAUAUAUUUAUUUUUUUUGUGAUUCAGCAAUCCCAAAGUUUCUUUUUUUUUUUUUCAAAUCAAAAUCAAAAAAGAAAUAAAUCAAAAAUAAUCUUCUUUUUUGAUUUUCGUACUCUUUCAUACCAUAAAUCUUGUUAAUUGUUAAUUGUUAAGAACCUUUCGGCGUGAAAAAGGUGUGUGGCGCUGCAAUAGGCCUCCGAUAGGUAAGAUAAACUCGGAAUACCCCUUCUUUAUCUCAUACUACUGCUUCGAUACAUAAUCAAAUAUUUUGAAAAAAAAAAAAAAACACUAACAAUUUUCAUAUCGAAUUCGAAGUGCCAUGCUAUUAUUACUUAAUAUUAAGAAUUCAUAUGGCGAAGGCAUAGUCUUCUUUUUUCUCUCAAAUAAAAAACUCAUUGGCGCCAAGCGUGAGGGAAUGCUAGACGUUUGGUACUUGCUCCGGCGGCCAGGAGAAAAGACCCCAUGGAGGCGGCCAAUCCCAUGCAUAUUGUCUGUACAUCGGGUCGCACAAAUUGCAUAGUAUCAUAAAUUGCUAUCCCGGGUAUUACCCAUCCGCCAGGAGAGUUGAUAAAUAAAUACAAAUCCUUGGUCUCGUUCUCUAUACUGAGAUAUACCAUAAUACCAAUAAGUUGAUUCGAGAUAUCGCUCUCAACCAUUUGACCUAAAAAAAGUAAUCUUUCUCGAUAAAGUCGGUUGAUUAGGAUAAAACAGUAUCCUUUCGGAGCCGUACAGGCAUCUUUUGAUGCAUACGGUUCAACAAAACUUGCGAAAAACAAAUCAAUGUGUAGCUCCUAGCCCCUUUCCUUUCUUUUUUCCUCGCUUCUAUCGAGGGGCUUUUCUUCCGGUUUUCAAGAACGCUGAGUUUAGCCGGUUUCCUAGACCUAUAAUAUUCUAAUAUAAAAAAGAAAUUCACUAAACUUAUCGACUUAUCGAACUAACUUUUCAUUGAUGUAUUUUUUCAUCGAGAUCCGAUCCAAAAAUCACGAUGCCAUUUUCUUGUUCCUGAAUUGAAUGGGCUUCUUCCAUUUUUUUAGGUUUAGGCUCUACUCCGAGUAAGGAUUCGCCCGAUUUUGAUUUGCACAUAUAAGACAAAUGACCCCAAUACCACGUCUCUUUUUUGCUAUGACUUACCCCUUUUUUAAUUCAUUUCUUUCAUGUCUUCCGCCAAAUAUUUGACAUAUUCAUCAUAUUUAGCAUUCCGUUGAUUAACGUUUGAGAUCGCUUUUCGAAUAAAGGAAUCGUUUAUGAUAUAAGUAAUAAUCAUAGAUAUAUUACCAAUUGGGUUUUUCUAAACGGAGCCUGGAUACCUCAUUUUAUUGGUCCAGCCAAGACGACCAUAAAAUUGAUUUAUUGCUAAUAUUAAUCUGGAUGCUUCCUCACGAAAUAGAUCUAAUUGCACUUCAUUGCAUUUCACGCUACAAAUUUUUGAUAAUUCAAUCAAUUUUUUGGGCGAAACAGAGGAUAUCUCGAUCGGGGGAGAGAACGGGGAAAUCCCAUAUGACCCAAUAGAUCUGACAAGUCGCACUAUAUGUCAACCCAAGAUGGAUGCUUGUCCCCGGGACUUCGAUAAGGUACUUUUGGAACACCAAUAGGCAUAAAAUGAAAGAAAAAAGAAUUAAGUACUCUAGUUCACUUUGAUGUGGAAGCGUAAUAAUGGGCUUCUUGUCUUAAUACUAGUGGCCGUUAUCUUAGUUUAUACAUAGAUUGACGAAGUUCAUAAAAUAAAGGAAAAUUAUUACGAAUAAGUCUUUUGAAUGAUGACCAAAUAUGGAUACAUUCGCUCAUAGAAAAGGGAAUCAACCCCCAUUGCGUAUUGGUACUUAUCGAGUAUAGAAUAGAUCUGCUUCUCUUUUUUCCUACGAACCGAACUCUUCCAUUAUUACUAAAAGAAUAGAACAAAUAUUAAUAUUAAUCCCUUUUUCGAGAUAAUCCCCUGAAAAAAGGGGUACAUAGCAUAGUUUUUUUCAAUGCAAUAAAGUUACAUAGUGUCUAUUUUUUAUUAAUAAAGGGGUAGUCCAUGGGUUUGCCUUGGUAUCGUGUUCAUACCGUCGUAUUGAAUGAUCCCGGUCGUUUGAUUGCUGUCCAUAUAAUGCAUACAGCCCUGGUUGCGGGUUGGGCCGGUUCAAUGGCUCUAUAUGAAUUAGCUGUUUUUGAUCCUCCGAUCCAGUUCUUGAUCCAAUGUGGAGACAAGGCAUGUUCGUUAUACCCUUCAUGACUCGUUUAGGAAUAACCGAUUCAUGGGGUGGUUGGAGUAUUACAGGGGGGACAGUAACGAAUCCGGGUAUUUGGAGUUACGAAGGUGUAGCGGGGGCACAUAUUGUGUUUUCCGGAUUGUGCUUCUUGGCAGCUAUCUGGCAUUGGGUGUAUUGGGAUCUAGCAAUAUUUGUUGAUGACCGUACAGGAAAACGUUCUUUGGAUUUGCCUAAAAUCUUUGGAAUUCAUUUAUUUCUCUCAGGAGUGGCUUGCUUUGGUUUUGGGACAUUUCAUGUAACAGGAUUGUAUGGUCCUGGAAUAUGGGUGUCUGAUCCGUAUGGACUAACUGGAAAGGUACAAUCUGUAAAUCCAGCAUGGGGUGUGGAAGGUUUUGAUCCUUUUGUUCCAGGAGGAAUAGCCUCUCAUCAUAUUGCGGCAGGGACAUUGGGCAUAUUAGCAGGCUUAUUCCAUCUCAGUGUCCGCCCGCCACAACGCUUAUACAAAGGAUUACGUAUGGGCAAUAUUGAAACCGUUCUUUCCAGCAGCAUCGCUGCUGUCUUUUUUGCAGCGUUUGUUGUUGCUGGAACUAUGUGGUAUGGGUCAGCAACUACCCCCAUCGAAUUAUUUGGUCCACCCGUUAUCAAUGGGAUCAGGGAUACUUUCAGCAAGAAAUAUAUCGAAGAGUCAGUGCUGGACUAGCCGAAAAUCAAAGUUUAUCAGAAGCUUGGUCUAAAAUUCCUGAAAAAUUAGCUUUUUAUGAUUACAUCGGAAAUAAUCCUGCGAAAGGGGGAUUAUUCAGAGCGGGUUCAAUGGAUAACGGGGAUGGAAUAGCUGUCGGGUGGUUAGGACACCCUAUAUUUAGAGAUAAAGAAGGGCGUGAACUUUUUGUACGUCGUAUGCCUACUUUUUUUGAAACAUUUCCAGUUGUUUUGGUAGACGGAGAUGGAAUUGUUAGAGCCGACGUUCCUUUUCGAAGGGCAGAAUCGAAGUAUAGUGUCGAACAAGUAGGUGUAACCGUUGAGUUCUAUGGUGGCGAGCUGAAUGGCGUGAGUUAUAGUGAUCCUGCUACUGUGAAAAAAUAUGCUAGACGUGCUCAAUUGGGUGAAAUUUUUGAAUUAGAUCGUGCUACUUUGAAAUCCGAUGGUGUUUUUCGUAGCAGCCCAAGGGGCUGGUUUACGUUUGGACACGCUUCAUUUGCUCUGCUUUUCUUCUUCGGACACAUUUGGCAUGGUGCUAGAACCUUGUUCAGAGAUGUUUUUGCUGGUAUUGACCCGGAUUUGGACGCUCAAGUGGAAUUUGGAGUAUUCCAAAAACUUGGAGAUCCAACUACAAGAAGACAAGUAGUCUGAUGCAGCAUUGCUCUACUAUUUUAGUUUCUCACUUCUGCUUCUAUUUUCGAUUUGUGCUUUUUAUUUAAAAUAAGGUAUAAGGUACUGGAGAAAUAUGGAUUUAAAUCGCCGCCCUUUUUGAUUCUUUUUUUCUUUAAUCCGGGGGAUGAUCCAAAUAAACAGGUAUGGAAGCUAUAAUUGGAAACCACGAUCGAAUUUAUGGAAGCAUUGGUUUAUACAUUCCUCUUAGUCUCGACUCUAGGGAUCAUUUUUUUCGCUAUCUUUUUUCGAGAACCGCCUAAAGUUCCAACUAAAAAAACAAAAUGAUUUUUUUUUAUCUCAAUUGAAGUAAUGGGCCUCCCAAUAUUGGGAGGCCCAUUACUUCUACUUCAACUAGUCCCCGUGUUCCUCGAAUGGAUCUCUUAGUUGUUGAGAGGGUUGCCCAAAAGCAGUAUAUAAGGCGUACCCAGUAAAACUUACAAGUAACCCAGAUAUAGAGAUGGCGACUAGGGUUGCUGUUUCCAUUAUUAUAGAAUUUCAAGACCACACUGGAUCCAUGAUAAGAUCGUUUAUUUACAACGGAAUGGUAUACAAAGUCAACAGAUCUCAAUCAAUACAAAAUAGGAUUUAUGGCUACACAAACAGUUGAGGGUAGUUCUAGAGCUCGUCCAAAAAGAACUUCUGCAGGGGGGUUGUUGAAACCCUUGAAUUCGGAAUAUGGUAAAGUAGCUCCUGGAUGGGGAACUACUCCUUUGAUGGGAGUCGCAAUGGCUUUAUUUGCGGUAUUCCUAUCUAUUAUUUUGGAGAUUUAUAAUUCGUCCGUUUUACUGGACGGAAUUUCACUGAAUUAGAAUGAAAUUUACAAGAAUCACAAAAUACUACCUUUUAAAUAAGCAUUUAGGUAUCGGAUUUUGAUUUUCGUUGAUUGGUAGUUCGACCGCGAAUUUUUUAUUUCUGUAUUUCCGGAAUAUGAGUGUGCGACUUGUUCGAAUUGAUCCUAUUGAUAGUACAGAGCAUAGAUCUGUCGUCUUGAUCGAGAUGGCUUUACUCCGUCGGAUAUUCAUUCGAGUAUCUGGAGCACGGAAUAUAUGAAAUAGAUCACGAAGUAUUCGAACUAUGAUUCAUACUUAAUAUUCAGACCCCUUGGCCGGAUUCAAAAAAUUUUUCCAAAGACAAAAUUUGCAAUUGCAAGAUUUUUCUUCUUUCAAAUUCCCCAUUUCUGCUUUUAUUUUACUCAAAGCACAAAUUUGAAUAAAUGAUGAUCCAAGGAUUCUUACUCAUGGAAUCUUUGGACUUAGUUUGAAGGUUUUAUUGAAUCAUCGUGGUUCUAGUAUGAAUCUGAGGUUUCAAUUGAUUCAUAGGGUCUUAACAAGAAAAUUCCUAGCAAUAAUAAAGAAAACAAAAGUCAAGCUGCAUUACAUACAACUCAAAAUAACAAAUCAAAGAAAAUGAAAUAGGUAAAUAGAAGAUUCAAGAGGCCUGUAACGAUCAACAUAAAGAUAAGCGCGUCGACUUGAUUUUUUGGCAUUCUAAUUAUAACCACAAAGAAAAGCUUUCUUAUUUUUAUUCUUUCGUAUUUUUAGAUAAGAUUGAAUCAAAAAAUUAAGAAGUUUCCAAUUUUCUAUUCCAUACCAGUAUUGGGGUGGUUUUGUUUGAGCCGUACGAGAUGAAAUUCUCAUAUACGGUUCUCAGAGGGGAGUUCUCUUGGUUUACCUAUCUCAAUAAAGUCUACGAUUGGUUCGAAGAACGUCUCGAGAUUCAGGCGAUUGCAGAUGAUAUAACUAGUAAAUACGUUCCUCCUCAUGUCAACAUAUUUUAUUGUCUGGGAGGAAUUACGCUCACUUGUUUUUUAGUACAAGUAGCUACAGGGUUUGCUAUGACUUUUUACUACCGCCCGACCGUUACUGAGGCUUUUGCCUCUGUUCAAUACAUAAUGACGGAAGUUAACUUCGGGUGGUUAAUUCGAUCGGUUCAUCGAUGGUCGGCAAGUAUGAUGGUCCUAAUGACAAUCCUGCACGUAUUUCGCGUGUAUCUCACCGGGGGUUUUAAAAAACCUCGCGAAUUGACUUGGGUUACAGGUGUGGUUCUGGCUGUAUUGACCGCAUCUUUUGGUGUAACAGGUUAUUCUUUACCUUGGGACCAAAUUGGAUAUUGGGCAGUAAAAAUUGUAACAGGCGUGCCCGAAGCAAUUCCGGUAAUAGGAUCGCCUUUGGUAGAGUUAUUACGCGGAAGUGCUAGUGUGGGACAGUCCACUUUGACUCGGUUUUAUAGUUUACACACUUUUGUAUUACCUCUUCUUACUGCCGUAUUUAUGUUAAUGCAUUUCCUAAUGAUACGUAAACAAGGUAUUUCUGGCCCUUUAUAAAAUUAUACAAAAUCUAGAUUAUAGCGAUUUGUAAUCAACCCUUUAUCUUAUUGCUUGGGGGAGGAACAAUAAUAUUUCAUUGCUACAAAUAUGGAUUAUUGACAAAGAAUAAGACAUGGAGUUGGAAAUUUCCCCUCAACUCCAUAAUAUUGGACUUUUUAUUUGACAUGAAUGAAAUGAAUAGUUGACGGGAAUUCUCCGAAGAGAAAAUGGAUUAUGGGAGUGUGUGACUUGAACUAUUGAUUGGGCCGUGCAGAAAUAUGUCUUUAAUCUGCUACAUUGGAAUUCGCGACCAAAUGUGUCUUUGUUCCAACCGGCACCCCAUAGAGAGGAUAGGUUGGUUCGAUUGAAAAGAAUCUUUUCUAUGAUCAGCCCCAAGCAUGCCGCGCAUGAGCAGGCUCCGUAAGAUCCAGUAGAAUAAGCGAUGUGGCAUAAUCUAGAUUAUGUUUUCGCUAGAUUCUAGAUUACUUACUUAAUAGUAUGGAAAUGCAUUCAUUUCUUCUGCACCGAUCCCGAUUUAUGAUACUAUCGGAGUGAAACAAGGGGUCUAAAGAAGAGCAGCGGCUAGACUAUAUUAGUAACAAGUAAAUCCUUUGUACGCGAAAAAGAAAAAUCUCAGCUCGAUCUUUUUUUUUUUUUGUUUUUGGAUAAGGGUGAAUCACAAGGGCUGAGACGACCCAGAAAGCUCUUGAUCAUGAUCAAUUUUGUAAGCCUACUUGGGUAUGGAGCAUACACCUGUAAGAACCGAAUUCCUUGCAAUUGAUAGUUGAAACUUCGUAAAACGGAAUCCGGUAAUUUUACAUAUAGAAUCAUCCCGAUAUGCGUAAAAUAUAGAUUUUCGAAAAUCUAUAUUUCUUUUUUUAUCUAUUUCUUUUUUUAUAUGUAUCCUUUUAGUUUGGUUGAUUCUUGCUCGAGCCGGAUGAUGAAAAAUUAUCAUGUCCGGUUCUUUGGGGGGAUGGAUCUAUAAGAAUUCGCCUAUCCCAAUAACAAAAAAACCUGACUUGAAUGAUCCUGUAUUAAGGGCUAAGUUGGCUAAGGGUAUGGGUCAUAAUUAUUAUGGAGAACCCGCAUGGCCCAACGAUCUUUUAUAUAUUUUUCCAGUAGUAAUUCUAGGUACUAUUGCAUGUACCGUAGGCUUAGCGGUUCUAGAACCAUCAAUGAUUGGUGAACCCGCGGAUCCAUUUGCAACUCCUUUGGAAAUCUUACCCGAAUGGUAUUUCUUUCCCGUAUUUCAAAUACUUCGUACAGUACCCAAUAAGCUGUUGGGUGUUCUUUUAAUGGUUUCAGUACCUACGGGAUUAUUAACAGUACCUUUUUUGGAAAAUGUUAAUAAAUUCCAAAAUCCAUUUCGCCGUCCCGUAGCGACAACCGUCUUUUUGAUUGGGACCGCAGUGGCCUUGUGCUUGGGUAUUGGAGCAACAUUACCUAUUGAAAAAUCCCUAACUUUAGGUCUUUUUUAAAUUGAUUCAAUUGUAAAAUAUCAUGACGUGUGUAUCUAGGGAGUAGUCACUUCAAAGUAAAAGUGAAUUCUCCCUAGAUACUUCUAUUCAAUUUAAUUCCGGUCUGAAUAUAUAGACGGGUCUAAAGGUGCAAAGCCAUUUCAAUUUUCUCGUUUUUUUUUUUUUCGGUAAAUCAAUUGUGAAAUGCUUUUCUAUUUCUUUUCUAGAAUACUCAUUAUCUGCUUUACAUCCUCUAUGCGAAAGUGUUCAAUUUUCAUAAGGUCUUCUUGACGCGUAUUCAAAAGGUCGAAUAAUGUAUGUAUAUUGGACUUUUUGAGACAAUUAUAGAUCCUGGGAGACAUUUCUGAUUGGUCAAUAAAAAUCGAUUUCAAUGCGAUUUCUUUUUUCUUUUUCGUUAGUUUAGCCAAUCUAUCAUGAAAAGUAAAAAAGGGUAAAGUAACCUUGUAUUGAUUGUUCUCUAAAGGUAAGUUUUCGUCUUCUGCCUGGAGAAAGGGAAUAAAUAAAUCAAUCAAACUCCGGGAGGCUUCAUGAAGUGCUUCUUUAGGAGUUAAACUUCCGUUUGUCCAUAUUUCUAGAAAAAGGAUCUCUUGUUUUUCAUUGCCAUUCCCAUAAGACUGAAUACUAUGAUUCGCAUUUCGAACAGGCAUGAAUACAGCAUCGAUAGGAUAACAAUUUCCGUCUUGAAAGGUAUUUGGCGUUUUUAUAUUAUAUCCUCGACUCCUCUCGAUUUGUAAUCCAAUAGACAAAUCAAUUGGUUCUGUUAGGCUAGCUAUGUGCUGCGUAUUAUCAACGAUUUCCACAGAAGGCGGCAAGAGGAUGUCUUGAGCAGUUACAUAUCCCGGGCCUUUGACACAAAUAAGCGCGUCACAAGUUCCAUAAAGAUUACUUCUCAAUACAAUAUCUUUCAAAUUCAUUAAAAUUUCAUGUACCGAUUCUUGAAUACCCACUAUGGUAGAAUAUUCGUGUGGAAUUUUUUCAGAUUUUGCGCGUGUAAUACAUGUUCCUUCUAUUUCUCCAAGCAAAACUCUUCGCAUCGCAAUGCCUAUUGUGUCGGCUUGACCUUUCAUAAGUGGAGACAAAAUAAAGCGCCCAUAAUAAAGACGCUUACUGUCUGCUCUUGAUUCAACACACUUCCACUGUAGUGUCCGAGUAGAUACUUUUACUUUCUCUCGAACCAUAGUAAUAUUAUUUGUCAGAUCAUUGAGUCAUUUAUUUCUCUUGAAAUCUCUUCAAUGUUUAUUUCUACACCCGUCUUUUUUUAGGGGGUCUGCAACCAUUGUGUGGCAUAGGGGUUACAUCCCGUACGAAAUUUAAAAGGAUACCGCUUCUACGAAUAGCUCGUAAUGCCGCAUCUCUUCCGAGACCAGGACCCUUUAUCAUGACUUCUGCUCGUUGCAUACCUUGAUCCGCUACUGCUCGAAUAGCAUUUCCUGCUGCGGUUUGAGCAGCAAAAGGCGUACCUCUUCUUGUACCCCUGAAUCCACAAGUACCGGCCGAGGACCAAGAAAUUACCCGACCCCGGACAUCUGUAACAGUCACAAUGGUGUUGUUGAAACUUGCUUGAACAUGAAUAACGCCCUUUGGUAUUCGACGUCCACUUUUACGUGAACCGAUCCGUCCCGGCCUACGUGAACCACUUCGUGGUGGAGAUUUUGCCAUAUUUGAUCAUUUCAUAAAUAUAAGUCAGAGAUAUAUGGAUAUAUCCAUUUCAUGUCAAAACCGAUCUUUUAUGUUGAUUUGUUCAUCGGUUACUUUCUAAACUUUUCGAAAGAUUAUCCUUGUCUUUGUUUAUGUCUCGGGUUGGAACAAAUUACUAUAAUCCGUCCCCUCCUGCGGAUCAGUCGACAUUUUUCACAAAUUUUACGAACUGAAGCCCUUAUUUUCAUAAUUGUUAUUCCUUAAAUGAAUUUCGAAUCUCCUUAUUGGAAGUUGGAAGAAAAUAAGUUUCUUGAAAUUUUUGAACCGCGAUUUGUAUCCCCCUGAAAGGAAUGUUGAAAAAUCACCUAAUCACUCAAAUCCUUUUGUGUAGUCUAUAUAUUAUUAUUAUAUCCUCCAGUUGAAUCUGAAUCAUAACGACUUCCUUCAAUUUUGCCUCUAGCCACCGGGAGUAGAUGUAGAAAAACGGGUCGCAUCCCUCCUGAAACAUAAUCUAGAAUCUUACUUCGCUCUCUAAACUAUCUAAAAGAACCCGGAGCAUACCUUUGGUAAGUUAUUCGGUAAUUAAACCUCGAGGAAUCCUCCCUUUUUUUUUCUCACAACAUAAAAGUAAGCUCCAAAUACAAUUCGGAUAGCAGAAUAAUUACCAUAUAUAACACAAAAUUUCUCCACCGAUUCUUUCCAGUCGAGCCGCUCGGUCUGUCAUUAUACCCCGAGAAGUAGAGAGAAUUACAAUCCCCAUCCCAUCUAAAAUUCUAGGAAUUCGUCGAUAGUUAAAAUAGAUUCGUAGACCGGGUCGACUGAUUCGUUUUAAAUUUAAAAUGGGUCUAUACGGCCCUUUCCUAUUCCUUCGAUGUCGUAGGGUUAAAACCAAAAACUCUUUUUUGUUUUUGUUUUCCACGAGUUUCCUUGCGUUUUCGAUAAAACCCUCUCGCAAAAGGAUUUUAACAACGUUUUCGGUGAUGUUAGUAGAUGCUAUUCGAACCGUUCCCUUUCUAUUCAUGUCAGCAUUUCGUAUAGAAGUUAUUAUGUCAGCAAUAGUGUCCUUGCCCAUGAUAAACUGAAAAUUUUGUUGCUUCCAAAUUUUGAUAUAAUCAACAUGUUCUUUUUUUUAUGAAAAUUAUUAAAAGUAUAUGCGUGAGACAUACUCUACUAAAUUUUGAUUUAUCUAUUUUAUUUUCAUACUAUCACUAUAUCGCGGUCCCCUCUUAUAAUACUUCAGGUGCUAAUGAAACUAUUUUAGUAAAAUUCAACUGUCUCAAUUCCCGGGCGAUCGCACCAAAAACUCGAGUUCCCUUUGGAUUUCCUUCGUGAUCAAUGACAACUGCAGCAUUGUCAUCGUACCGUAUUAUCAUACCGUUAUCACGUCUGAGUUCUUUACAAGUACGUACAAUUACAGCUCUGAUCACUUCUGAUCUUUCUAGAGGCGUAUUGGGUACUGCUUCCUUGAUCACAGCAACAAUAACGUCACCAAUAUGAGCAUAUCUACGAUUACUGGCUCCUAUGAUUCGAAUACACAUCAAUUCUCGGGCACCGCUAUUGUCUGCUACAUUCAAAUGGGUUUGAGGUUGAAUCAUAUCGUUUUUUGAGUCCGUUUUUUUAAUGUUUAAUUUAAAGUAAAGCACUGAAAGGACGAAGUAAAAAAAAAAAGGGAAGACCCGCAUUUUUUAUACCCAAGAUUUAUUUCCUUUGUUUCGACAUUCCUAUCCCGAAAUAAUGAAUUGAGUUCUUAUAGGCAUUUUGGACGCCGCUAUUGAAAUAGCCUUUCGAGCUAUAUUUUCAGCUACUCCACUCAUUUCAUAAAGUAUUCUACCCGGUUUAACGACGGCUACCCAAUAUUCGGGGGAUCCUUUACCGGACCCCAUACGGGUUUCCGUGGGUCUUAGUGUAACGGGUUUGUCUGGAAAGAUACGUACCCAUAUUUUUCCACCGCGCCGUACAUUUCGUGUCAUUGCGCGGCGCCCCGCUUCGAUUUGUCUAGAUGUGAUCCAAGCGGGUUCAAGUGCUUGAAGAGCAUAUCUGCCGAAACAAAUAUGAUUACCUCGAUAAGAUAUCCCUUUCAUUCUUCCUCUAUGUUGUUUACGGAAUCUUGUUCUUUUGGGGUUAUAAUUGAUGGUUCUUUCUCAAUGCCAUCUCUACUACAGAACUGGACAUGAGAGUUUCUUCUCAUCCAGCUCCUCGCGAAUGAAAGGACUAAAAACGAUUUUAUCAAGAUAUAGGGGAAUUUAAUGAAUAAUAUACUGAAGCAUAGGAUUUUUUGAAAGUUCAUCUAAUUAAUCUAUUCUAAAUUUGUAUAUCAUGUUUAGAUAUAGAAUUGAAACAUUUAUGUUCUAUUUAUAGAUAAUCUCAAUGUCUUUUUUUUUUUUUUAUCGUUAUAACAAAUCUUUAUUUUGUUUUGCCCUUUACCAUAUCGGAUCGAGCAAAAUGAAUCAAUCCAAUAAAAUCAAAAAAUAAACCUUUCGCGGGCGAAUAUUUACUCUUUCAAUAUCUAUUUCAGUUGUAGGGUUAGUUCAUGACCUCUACGAAUAAAAGAAUAGUUUAGUUCCUGGGUUCGUUUCGCCAUCCCACCCAAUAAAUCAUUAAGAUUCAUUUCCAAUAGAAUCUUCUUUUUCUUUAUUCACGGGUUCCGUCGUUCCCAUUGCUUCUCGAUUAAUGGUUAGGUCUGAAUUCUCCAACGGAGCCCUUAAUGAAAUUUUUUCUUAAGUCAAUUUUCUCAGUUUUUAUUGGCUCGGGGCUCUUGAUUUUUUUUGUUCUAUGAGCGGAUUCAUCUAGUUAGGGAUGAAUCAUUAUUGAUGCUAUAUUACACUGUUUUUUAUGAGAUGACUUACAGACCUUACAUAUUGGAAUCUUAUAUCAUUGAUAUUUUCUUUCUCUCUUUCUCUCAUCCUUCCAUUUAUCCGCAUGCUUUUCGAUUUUCUUUCACAACUUCGAACUUCACAACCUACAAUCAGAUUGGGUUUUUAUGUUAUGCAAAUUUCAGUUGCUACAACGAUAUGACCACUAUAUUAUAUCUUGACUGGUUCUUUGGAUUCAGAUAAUACGAAGCAAUGAGUUGGUUAUUAGUGCUAUAGUUAUUAGUUCAUACUACAGGACGGUCCAUUUUUUGGAAUCCUAGCCCUAAAAAAAACCAACGAGUCGCACACUAAGCAUAGCAAUUAUAUAAAAAAAAAAAAAUCAAUCGAAUUUUUAUUCAACCCUAUAGAAUUGCGGAAUUUCUCAUUUUUGUUUUGAUUGAAGAUAAAAAGAGCUCGUUCUUUGUUUGGUUUAUUUCCAUUAAUGGGGGGGCUCUAAAGACCCGUAAACUCUUAUUUUUUUUCGUCUACAAAUAUCCAAAUUUUGAUUCCCAAUACCCCGUAGAUAGUUCGAACCGUAUAGGAACAAUAAUCAAUUUUAGCUCCAAUGGUUUGUAGAGGAACUCUACCUUCUCUGAUCCAUUCGGCGCGCGCAAUUUCUUUUCCGUCAAGACGCCCUGCAAUUUGUACUUGAAUUCCUUUUGUAUCGGCCUGUUCCGUUAAUUCAAUAGCUUUUUUCAUUGCUUUUCGAAAAGAAACUCUAUUUUUUAAUUGUCCGGCUAUAAAUUCGGCAAGAAUAUUGGGGUGUCCAUAAGGAUUUGUAAUUCGUGUAAUAGCAAUGUUUAUUUUUCGAUUCACACAAUUAAGUUCUUUUUGUACAUUCAUCUGUAAUUCUUCAAUUCUUCGCGGUCUAUUUUCUAGUAAUAAUUUUGGGAACCCUAUAUAGAUUAUAACUUGAAUUAGAUCAAUUCUUUUUUGAAUCUCUAUCCGUGCAAUUCCCUCAACACCGGAAGAUAUUCUGAUAUUUUUUUUUAUAUAAUUCUUAAUAAAGUUUCGUAUUUUUUGAUCUUCUUGUAGACCCUCGCAAUAGUUUUUUGGUUUUGCAAACCAAAGAGAAUGAUGACUUUGUGUUGUACCAAGCCGGAAACCUAGUGGAUUUAUUUUUUGUCCCAUAAUCCCCCAUUCCUAUAUGUAUCAUGACAUGUCAUAGUUUUUUUUUUCUUUUUUUUUUAUUUAUUAAUCUAGUGUUUUUUGAGCACUCGAGAUCGAGAUAGUCUCUAUAUUCAUAUUCAGCUAAGGAUAUAUCUUUUAAAACAAUAGUUAUAUGACAAGUGGGUUUUUUGAUCAGAUAACUCCGCCCUCGGGCUCGAGGUUUAAUCUUUUCGCAGUAGGACCCAUAGCUAUUCGCUUUAAUAAUGAAUAAACUUUUCGUUGAAAAGAUUGAAUACAUAUAAAUAAAAAACUAAAAUAAAAAAAAAAAAAAAAAAAAAAAAAAAAAAAAAAAAAAAAAAAAAAAAAAAAAAAAAAAAAAAAAAACUAUGACAUGUCAUGAUACAUAUAGGAAUGGGGGAUUAUGGGACAAAAAAUAAAUCCACUAGGUUUCCGGCUUGGUACAACACAAAGUCAUCAUUCUCUUUGGUUUGCAAAACCAAAAAACUAUUGCGAGGGUCUACAAGAAGAUCAAAAAAUACGAAACUUUAUUAAGAAUUAUAUAAAAAAAAAUAUCAGAAUAUCUUCCGGUGUUGAGGGAAUUGCACGGAUAGAGAUUCAAAAAAGAAUUGAUCUAAUUCAAGUUAUAAUCUAUAUAGGGUUCCCAAAAUUAUUACUAGAAAAUAGACCGCGAAGAAUUGAAGAAUUACAGAUGAAUGUACAAAAAGAACUUAAUUGUGUG